UCUGGCUCGUUAAGGGUCUGACCCCCUGUCAUAGUCCAGCAGAAAGAAUAUGAGCUUUAAAAGACUUACUUUUCUGGGUUCACUGCUAGCCAGUCCAGGAGCCAAAGUGUUCUGUAUAAAUGGAGGAAAACCAUGGAGGAGGGAGAGAAGUGAACUGGGGAACAUGGAAAAUGAUGUGGGAGAACCUAUAAAAAAGAUUUACAGACCCUUUCCUCAAUCCCUGCAAGUGCAAGAAUGCUUACUGGGAACUCAGCAAAGGUUAUUGUCAAUGAAGUUGGAAGCCUGGACAACCUACAGCAUUUGCCCCAGAGCUCUUGGUAUAUACCUAUCAUCUAAGAAGCCAGUGUUACUACAAGACUCACCAUAA
rnacentral:lncRNA from 1 species